AGUAGAACUGCUAUGUCAUAUGGUAAAUCUGUUUAAUACUUUAAGAAACUGCCAAACUGUUUUCCAUUUGGGAAACUGUACCAUUAUAUAUUCCCACUAGCAAU
rnacentral:pre_miRNA from 1 species